rnacentral:RNase_P_RNA from 1 species
CGGUGGUGUAAGAGACCACCAGCGGAUUAGGAGACUAGUUCGGCUAGGUAAACCUCACCGGGAGCAAGACCAAGUAAGAAGACGCUAAGGACUGCUCGUUUAGUCUUCGGGUAGGUCGCUAGAGCCACUUAGUAAUUUGUGGCCGAGAUAGAUGGCCGUCAGUGCUUCGGCAUUACAGAACCCGGCGUAUCGGCCGACCCAUCUC